GGGUAACCUAACCUAUGCAGGGGAAUAACCUCGGGAAACUGAGUAUAAUGCCCCAUAGUCCACUACGCCUGGAACGGUGAGUGGAUUAAAGCUCAGGCGGCAUAGGAUGGGCCUGCGGCGUAUCAGGUCGUAGGGGGUGUAAAGUACCCUCUAGCCAUCUACGCGUACGGGUGUUGGGAGACAUAGCCCGGAGAUGGAUUCUGAGACACGAAUCCAGACCCUACGGGGUGCAGCAGGCGCGAAAACUUGACAAUGCGAGCAAUCGUGAUCAGGGAACUCCAAGUGGCUGGGGUAAGACCCAGUCUUUUCAUAACUCUUCAAAGGUUGUAGAAUAAGGGGUGGGUAAGGACGGUGCCAGCCGCCGCGGUAAUACCGGCGCCUCAAGUGGUAGUCGCUUUUAUUGGGCCUAAAACGUCCGUAGCCGGUUUGGUACAUUCGUGGGUAAAUCAACUCGCUCAACGAGUUGAAUUCUGCGAGGACGGCCAGACUUGGGACCGGGAGAGGUGUGGGGUACUCUCAGGGUAGGGGUAAAAUCCUGUCAUCCUGAGAGGACCACCUGUUGCGAAGGCGCCACACUAGAACGGAUCCGACGGUCAGGGACGAAGCCUAGGGGCACGAACCGGAUUAGAUACCCGGGUAGUCCUAGGUGUAAACGCUGUGGACUUGAUGUUGGAGAAGCUCCGAGCUUCUUCAGUGUCGAAGCGAAGGUGAUAAGUCCACUGCCUGGGAAGUACGGUCGCAAGGCUGAAACUU
rnacentral:rRNA from 1 species